GGUUAAGCGACUAAGCGUACACGGUGGAUGCCCUGGCAGUCAGAGGCGAUGAAGGGCGUGCUAAUCUGCGAUAAGCGCCGGUAAGGUGAUAUGAACCGUUAUAACCGGCGAUACCCGAAUGGGGAAACCCAGUGUGACUCGUCACACUAUCAUUAACUGAAUCCAUAGGUUAAUGAGGCGAACCGGGGGAACUGAAACAUCUAAGUACCCCGAGGAAAAGAAAUCAACCGAGAUUCCCCCAGUAGCGGCGAGCGAACGGGGAGGAGCCCAGAGCCUGAAUCAGCAUGUGUGUUAGUGGAAGCGUCUGGAAAGGCGCGCGAUACAGGGUGACAGCCCCGUACACAAAAGCGCAUGUGCUGUGAGCUCGAUGAGUAGGGCGGGACACGUGGUAUCCUGUCUGAAUAUGGGGGGACCAUCCUCCAAGGCUAAAUACUCCUGACUGACCGAUAGUGAACCAGUACCGUGAGGGAAAGGCGAAAAGAACCCCGGCGAGGGGAGUGAAAAAGAACCUGAAACCGUGUACGUACAAGCAGUGGGAGCACCCUUUGGGUGUGACUGCGUACCUUUUGUAUAAUGGGUCAGCGACUUAUAUUCUGUAGCAAGGUUAACCGAAUAGGGGAGCCGGAGGGAAACCGAGUCUUAACCGGGCGUUAAGUUGCAGGGUAUAGACCCGAAACCCGGUGAUCUAGCCAUGGGC
rnacentral:rRNA from 1 species